rnacentral:rRNA from 1 species
GUCUUUUAAUUGGAGGCUUGUAUGAAUGGUUUAAUGAGAAAAUAACUUUCUUUAUAUUAAAAUUUGAAUUUAAUAUUUUAGUUAAAAAGCUAAAAUACUUGAAUGGGACGAGAAGACCCUGUAGAAUUUUAUUUUUAUUUAUAUAUAAAAUUAUAUUGUUAAUUAUUUAUUUAUUUAUAUAUAAAAAUUUUGUUGGGGUGACGUUGAGAUUUUUUUAACUCUCAUGAUAUAUUAUUUUAUUUAUAUGUAUAUUUAUUGAUCCUAUUUUAAGGAUAAUUAGAUUAAAUUACCUCAGGGAUAACAGCGUAAUUUUUCUGGAGAGUUCUUAUCAAUGGAAAAGUUUGCGACCUCGAUGUUGGAUUAAAAUUAGGUUUAAGUGCAGAAGCUUAAUAUCUAGGUCUGUUCGACCUUUAAAAUUUUACA